GUGGUUAUGGGGUCAUCCAAGCAUCAAAUCAAUAUGAAUUAUGAAUUUAAUGAAAGUUUGGUUAGGAUUCAUAGUAGGGUGACCGAAAAUCUUUUUGCUAUUAAGAAGGAAAAAAAAUCUGGGUUAUGUUUGCAAAGCACCACCCAUGGUCUCUAUCUGAUGUAGUCUGGAGAUUAGAAUAGAUUGGCAGAAACGGUACUUUCAAUAUGCCUUUGAAUUAAGAAAACAUUAACACAGUGAAUCAUUUUGUGGCUUUACUCGAACUCAAUAUAAACCCUCAUAGGGUAAAAGAUGUAACAGCGGACUGUUCUUUCCGUCAUUUUUGUCUUUCUCAGCACUUGCUGAGUAUCAGAAGCACUACCCUCUGUAUCCAUCUGAUCAAGUCUGGAGAUUAUAAAUGAUUUUCAGAAAUUGUGCUUUCCAUAACCGUUUGAGUAAGGAAUGCAUUUGCACCGUGAAGGAUUUUGUGGAUAUACUCCAUAUAAAUUCUGCGUGGCUAAAAGAGGCGGAUGCCCACAAGUUGGUAGUAUCAGCAUCGGAACACUGGAAUGAAGUAAAAUCUGUUGAUAACUUGGCCAUCUCUCUUGUGGGUGGCUCAAACUUGACCGUGAUUGAGUGUGCUACUGGCCGUAACUUUGAGACUAAUAACAUUGAUCUAUAUGUAAAUACACAGCCAGCUAUGUCUUCUACAAGUAUCAUGUCACCUGGGGGGUACAACUGGUGUUGGAAAUCUGGAUAAUACAAGUGGCCAGCUUUCGUCAUUCCAAUAUGCUAACUCCAUGAUCUGGGAACCCUUCGAUAUCUUUAGUUCUGAACCAUUCUUUCACUCUGAUGACAUUGAUAUAUAUGGAAAUACACAGCCAGAUACGUCUGCUGCAAGUACCAGACACUUGGAUCAUACAAGUGGCCAGCCUUCAUCUUUCCAAGGCGCUAACUAUCUACAAUAAUCACCACCCCCCAUCUCAGAAUGAUAAAGUAUGGCGGUUGCAGGAAAUUGAAGGAGUUUCUUAACUGAUUUAUGAUAAAAGUCAGCCGUCUCAAAAUAUCCUGCAUCGUUAAAUGCAUCACUGAACACAGCAACUUGUUUAAGACAUGAAUUUUUCCCCCUGAGGUUCUGUCUUCGAUGUGGGAAAGCCUUUAUUUAUUUUAUAUAUUCACGUUUAGGGCAAAAUCCAAGGCACAGAUCAGGGUCUACUCUGUUUCUGGCUUUCUAUUCCACCUUGAAGGAUUCUGCAAUAUGAUUUCAAGGUCAGGACGUCGAGUGGGUUGAUGAAGGACGCUAGCGGAGGCUGAAGUUUUGAGACCAUAGUUUUGCUUUUAUUUCCAUUGUGUUUUCAUCUGCGAACCUAUGACUUGGUGUAGGCUUUGGCAUAGCAUAUGAUUGGCUUGAGUGUAAUGUGCCAAACUAGUUGGGAUAUGACAUUUAAGCAAUGAUGCUGGUGUCGCCAAAACUUUUUCUUUCUUGAUGUAAGGCUAUGUACUUGUUUUGCUUUUAUUUCCAUUGUGUUUUCAUAUGAGAGCCUAUGACUUGGUGUAGGCUUUGGUGUAGCAUAUGAUUGGCUUAAGUGUAAUGUGUCAAACUAGUUGAGAUAUAACAUUUAAGCAAUGAUGCAA